GACGAACGCUGGCGGCGUGCCUGACACAUGCAAGUCGGACGGUUCUUGUACCUUCAAGCUUGCUUGUUGGUGCAAGGAUAGUGGCGGACGGGUGAGUAACGCGUGAACAUCUACCCAUUGGAGGGGGACAACCCGUCGAAAGGCGGGCUAAUACCGCGUAAGCCGCGAGGUGAGAGGCUGCCUAUUGGUGGCCGCCGAUGGAUGGGUUCGCGUCCUAUCAGCUGGUUGGUGGGUAACGGCCUACCAAGGCGAAGACGGGUAGCCGGUCUGAGAGGAUGGCCGGCCACACUGGAACUGAGACACGGUCCAGACUCCUACGGGAGGCAGCAGUGGGGAAUAUUGGGCAAUGGGGGAGACCCUGACCCAGCGACGCCGCGUGAGGGAUGAAGGUUUUCGGAUCGUAAAGCUCUGUCAGAUGGGAAGAAAUGGAUGGGGGCUAAUAUCGUCCAUCCUUGACGGUACCAUCAGAGGAAGCACCGGCUAACUCCGUGCCAGCAGCCGCGGUAAA
rnacentral:rRNA from 1 species